rnacentral:lncRNA from 1 species
AGAGUGUAAAAAUUUAUUUCUGCCUAUGUCAGAGUCAAGGUGGGGGUGCAAGUAGACUGCACUGGGGCUCUAUUCCUCCCAGCCAUUCAGGGACCCAGGCCCUUCUGUCUCCAGCUGCUUCAUCCUUAGGGCCUCGGAGGCCUCCACUGGAUCGUUUGCAUCCCAGAUCAUGCAGGAAGUGUUAUGGGCCAGGCCUGGAGCUGGUGUAUGUGAAUUCUGCCCACAUUUAUUAGGCUAGAAUUCAGACAGAGAGUAUGUGUGCCAGGAAGGUAUGAGCCCAGGAAGAAAAGGAGACAAGUUUGGGGAGCAUCUAGCCAGUGUCUGCGACACUGGUCACCCCAUGCCUUUGUAAAUUACAGACCUGAGUUCUUGAGUUCUUGAUGGUAGGAAAGGGUUCAGGCGCCGCUCUCCUUAGGAUUGCCUUUCUCCUGUAGGGACUAAGGCUUUGUUCCUGAGCUGAGUUUCUUGUAAUGACUUAUGGGUCUAAGCUGAAGCUCUCCCAGGAGGCUCCCCUCACUCCCUCUGCAGAGAGAUUUCUGGAAGCCAUUCCUACAUCUAUCAGCAGAGGAUGGACAAAUCUGAACUCCACUGACUUAUCUGAAGCUGAGGGUAGUACCCUCUGCUACACUGGUGCCAAAAAGGGUCAGGAAGCAGUAAUUAGUAUGAGAUUCGAAAAGCAAAAAGAAAAUGUCAUAGCAAAUAGCAGUGAGGGCAGUGAGAUUGAGAAAAGCGAAAGAGGUGCACAGCAGAGGACAUUUAGGAGUUAAAUGCAGAUGUCAAGGAGCCUGUGAAAUCAGUCUUGCGUGAGGAUCAGGAAGUUUGAAACGCAUGUGUACCAGUGGCAUAUUCACUUCUCUUCACAGAGAACUGAACUCUGCCCAGGAGUUGCAUGGCUUGUCAUGAAGACAAACAGGUUUAUGUUCCCAGAAUGUCCUUUGAUAAAACACAAGGGCUCAUCUCACUCACCCAUAUCUUCUCUUCCAGCCAUGAUGGUAUAUCAGAAGGAAAGCCACAUCUUGGAAAGAAUUACAGAAAUUAGUGCCACCUUUAAAAAAGGAAAGGAGGCAGGGAUAGUGGUCUCCAUAACAUUCCAGUUUAAUUUGCUUUUCUGGAUUCUAUGGGUCAAGAAUUCCGACAAAGCGCAGUGAGGAUAGCAAGUCUCUGCUUCACAAUGUCUGGGCGAUGCCACUGGAAAGGUUUAAGCAGUUGGGGAUGUCUCAAAUGUCUGCGGAUGAAGUCUUCUUCACUGACAUGUCUGGUACCUGGGCUAGGAUGAUUCGAAUGUUGGGCUUAACUGGGAUUAUCAACCAAGCUUUUUCAUGUGGCCUCUCCAUGUGGCUUAGGUGUUCUCACAGCAUGGCAGCCUUCUUACAUGAUGGCCCAGGGCUCCAAGGGCAAGUGUACCGGCAAACAAUGCAGUAGCUGCACGGCCUCUCUGACUUAACUCAAAAGUCAUGCUCCGUCAUUUCUGCCACCUUCUAUUAGUUAUAUAAGUGAGUGGCUGAAGCAAGUCCAGAUUCAAGGGGAAGUGGAGGUAGACCCCACCUCUCAAUGGAAAGAACAUCAAAGAACUUGAGGUCAUCUAUCACACUGAAACCUUCAAAAUGCAGAUUCCAUCUUUUCAAUUAAAUACGGUGGUAUAAAAGCAGAAUUUCUCUAUUGCCUCUUAGAAAAUUAUCCAAAAAUAGCAAGGAGAAGGAGAAACGCAAAUACAAACAUAAUACUUAACAGUUAAAACCUUGAACCUCAAAGUAUGCAAAAGAAUGCCAAAGGUAGAGAAGAUUAAGCAGGGAUUCAAAAAAAUUCAGAGAGGGAGCAAUCACUCAGGAUUGUACAUCUCAGAAAGAAGUGGCAAAGACAUUUCACCAAGGUUAAGGGCAUGCACUGAAGUACAAAAUCAAAAUCACUUGUUUGCACCAAUGGGAGCUGGGAUGCACAGGUCGAUUUUUAAAAAUUAUGUAGGUUUAAAAGAAGAAUCCCUUGAUGCAGCCAUAUUCACUUCCUCCACAUUCUCUUCCUCUUCUCCUCCUUCUCAUCAUCU